UCGGACAUUCCAGAGAGUUCUCUCGACUUCUCACUCUUUCUCUCACUGUAUCUCUCACUAUUUUGCCUUCAAUCUGUAUGUUUUCAUGGUAUCAGAGCGGGAUGAUCCUCAGAUGCUUCUCCGUUACUUGUUAUCGAUCGUGUUGGAAGUUUUAUUGAAGGUUUUUUUUUUGGAUAUUUGUGAGAGAUUCUGUUUACCGAGAGAACGAUGUGUAUUGAAUGGAUAAUCGGAACUUUUACUGCUAUUUAAUGCUUCGAUCUUCACUCAGUGGAUGUUUUGGGUGAUUUUCCGACAUCCCUGACCUUUUUCCGAUGACUUUCCAGAUUCUAGGGUUUCUGGUGGUUGAACCUAGGGUUUUACUCCUAUCCGAUGGCUCGAUCCUCACUCGGUGGAUGUUUUGGGUGAUUUUCCGACGUCCGACCUAGGGUUUUACUGCUAUCCGAUGGCUCGAUCCUCACUCGCUGGAUGUUUUGGGUGAUUUUCCGACGUCCCUGACCCUAUUCCGGUAAGUUUUCAGACCCUACGGUUUUCGGUGGUUGGACCUAGGGUUUUAUCUGGCAAUUGAAGACCGUUCUUCUCCGGUCGCGAAGAAGGUGGGUUACUCUAUCCCUGUUCUAAGUGUUGUAUGUUUUGUAUGUGGGUUCUGAUUCAACUUUAGUCUAUUUACUGAGACUGUUUUUUGAUUUCAAACUGGUUAUUGUUCAUGACUUCUAAUAUGAAUGCUAAUACCUCCUCAGUGGACUCUACUAGCCCCUUUUUUGUUUACUCCUCUGAUGUUCCUGGAGUUUCUCUUGUGUCCACUCCCUUCUCACACAGUGGUUAUGGGGGUUGGAGGAGGAAAAUGAUUGUCGCGUUAUCUGCUAAGA
rnacentral:lncRNA from 1 species